GAAAACAAAUUUUUACCUUUUCAUGCUUCAAGUCCCAAACUGACAGAGACGGACGAGACACCUAGAGAUGUAACUUUACGGAAGUGCACCGCUACCCCAGAUAUUCGUUCCACAUUUGAAUCUUGGUGUCCAGGUUUAACUGUUGGUAUGGAAACUUCCACACUCAGAAGAAAAUAUUCAUAUACGUGACACUGGCAGGAGGCAGUGGACCCACAAAAGAAUAUCCAAAUCCCUUGUCUGCAGAAGGAUCAGGGAACAAGUACACUGGAUUGAUUGAUUGACUGAUUAUUUUACGUCUCGUCGAGAAGUUUUCAUUCAUAUUGAGACGUCACCAGCUGUAGGUGAAGUACCACAAAUUUAGACCUAUGCUUAGUGCUCAGGGAUGUAGCAGUGAGAGUUUUUAAUCGUGCAAACGCCUGCUACGACACGGGAUCUCCGUUUUUAAAGGUCAUAUCCGAAAGACUCGUGAUUCUCACUUCUAGCGUUUGGCGAAGAAGCAAUCACUUACCUACUUUAACAUCUUCUGUUUGACGCAGCCAUGACACGAGCGGGGCUCGAACUCACGACCUCCCGGUUACGAAGCGUACGCUCUACCACAGAGGUACCGCGACCGGUCCAAGUACACUAGAACUCAGUGGAGGAAAAAACAAAGACUACAUGUUGCGUCAUGGCUAGGAUGGUAUGCAGAUUUUGCCACAUCAGCGUAUCGGAAGCGUGCAGAGGACAUUGGGAUCGUAGACUACUCAUGGACAUUGGUUUCUGAUCAGGAGUGGCAUAAUUUGGCCAUAAUUUGCCGUCUCCAGGAGGUACUGGUUUUUUCCAGCACCCCUCCCCUGCCCAAGAUGGUACCUCUAUGCUUAAUUUAUAUGCUGCCAUUUGUUCAUCGGCGCAUUUUUGUAUUUUCUGUGAUAUAUCUAUUAAAUGGUCAUGACAAGCACGCCAAACAUAAAUUCACUUAAUGAAUUCACUAAUGUCCUUAUAUUAAACCCAAUUUGCAUUCUG